rnacentral:misc_RNA from 1 species
AACGCACCUUGCACCCUUUGGCAUUCCGAAGGGUAUGCUCGUUUGAGUGUCAUUGUACUCUCACACUUCUGAUCUUUUGGGUCGGGAGCGGUGGACUUGGGUGUUGCUGCUUUACUGUGGCUCACCUCAAAUGCAUUAGUGCAACUCUUGGUUGGACAUAGUACGGCGUGAUAAGUAUCUUCGCCGGCACCUCACAGAGGGUGGCCGAUUGGGAGCUCUGUGCUUCAAACCGUCUUCGGACAACAACUGACAACUUGACCUCAAAUCGAGUAGGACUACCCGCUGAACUUAA